CCUUUUGUCAGACUCUCAGUCUCUGUCUUCCUCCUCAGACACCUCUCCUAAUUUAUUCAGGGAACCCACUAACCCCAGGUCUGUCUCUACCAUUAGAUACGCUCACACACACACACACACACAUACACGCGCGCAUGCAGGCACGCACGCACACACACACACACACACAUUCCUUACUCCACUAUUAGACCACAGAUCUGGGACAGAGAGAGCAGAGUGUAGCCUGUUUACCAUAGGAGUUUACAAACAGAUUUGGGACCAGGCUGAGCAGAACAAUAUAGGACUGGGGAUGGCAGACUACACUGGAGAAGGCAGACUACACUGGAGAUGGUAGACUAGACUGGAGAUGGUAGACUAGACUGGAGAAGAUAGACUACACUGGAGAUGGUAGACUAGACUGGAGAUGGCAGACUAGACUGGAGAUGGCAGACUAGACUGGAGAUGGUAGACUAGACUGGAGAUGGCAGACUACACUGGAGAUGGUAGACUGGAGAUGGUAGACUAGACUGGAGAUGGUAGACUAGACUGGAGAUGGUAGACUAGACUGGAGAUGGUAGACUAGACUGGAGAUGGUAGACUAGACUGGAGAUGGUAGACUAGACUGGAGAUGGUUGACUAGACUGGAGAUGGCAGACUAGACUGGAGAUGGCAGACUAGACUGGAGAUGGUAGACUGGAGAUGGUAGACUAGACUGGAGAAGGCAGACUACACUGGAGAUGGUAGACUAGACUGGAGAUGGUAGACUAGACUGGAGAUGGUAGACUAGACUGGAGAUGGUAGACUAGACUGGAGAUGGUUGACUAGACUGGAGAUGGCAGACUAGACUGGAGAUGGCAGACUAGACUGG
ensembl:lncRNA